UACGAAGGGGGCUAGCGUUGUUCGGAAUUACUGGGCGUAAAGCGCACGUAGGCGGAUAUUUAAGUCAGGGGUGAAAUCCCGGGGCUCAACCCCGGAACUGCCUUUGAUACUGGCUAUCUUGAGUGUGGGAGAGGUUAGCGGAACUCCGAGUGUAGAGGUGAAAUUCGUAGAUAUUCGGAAGAACACCAGUGGCGAAGGCGGCUAACUGGCCCAUUACUGACGCUGAGGCUCGAAAGCGUGGGGAGCAAACAGG
rnacentral:rRNA from 1 species